CCUCGCGAGCGUUUCCUUCUCCGCCAAAUUCCUAAAUCCCAAGCCCGUGCCCUAGCUCUGCGCCGAACCCCUCCUCUUCCUCCCGAUCCCUCACCCCCGCAUCACCUCUGACUCCCUCCUUCUUCCCUCUCCCUCGCCCGAGCACCGCACAACCAUCGAGCCACAAGCCGUCGGAUCUCGCUCCCUCACGCGAGCACCACAAUCGCCGGAAGGAAGGAUCACCACCAGCCUUGCGUCUCUGCCCUAGAGCGCUGACCGUCUCCUCCCUGCCCCGAUUCAAGUAGUUUUCCCUUCCUCCUCAGCGCCAAUCCACUGCCACUCCCUCUGUCGUCUUCGUCUUUGUUGCGGUCGACCCUGCCUAGUGCUGCCGUUGCUGAUAGGAAGAGUUAAAGUCAAGCCCUUUGUCAUAGCUGUUUCGGUGUUGCUGUUGCUUCUAGCCGGUGACACCGUCUUCUUUUCCCUUGCGCCAUCGCUGGAUAUGUGCUGUAGGGAGUCCACUGUCAGAGAGGGGGCAGCUAGGGAGCAGCUGAUCAAGGGUAUUGAUUUGGAAAUCAACAACUCUAUUUGGCUACGUUUUGUUGCGGCAGCAAGUUCUCCGACUGAAUUGAUGAUGAAGUCUUUGGAUUUGGGACACUGAUUUGGGGCGAGCAGCACAACGUGGAUUUUAUUCUGAUACGAUUGACAAGUAAAGAUAAAGGAAAAGCUAAAGUAUGAAAGGAAGGCGACAAGGUGGUGGUG